GCGCCUGCGCGGAACGCGUGGCCGGCUUCCGGAAUCUGACCGGGACUUUUCCGGUAGCGAAGCCCGCGUCUGUGGCAAGGCUUGCGAGCGUUGGACUCCCGCAUUCCACCCUCUUGAUCGCUGAGACUCCUAGUGGCGGGUGGGUGGAGCGCGCUCCAUUUAACUGCUGGUUACCUCGUGAGGCGCCUCAGGUUAUCCUCUUGACUUGAAAAGACACGGAAAAAUGCUUUAGACAUCUGAAUCUCAGGAAAGAAACAAUGGAAGAUAAACAUCCGCAUUUACUGGGCCUGAAAUGGGAAAAUGAAAGACGUGGCAAGAAAUUGACAAGGGCACAAGAAGGGAGAUGGGUGUUGGAAUGUUUUUCAUCCCGGAAUGAAAUGCUGCUUGCUUUGUGUACCCAAGCUCUUUUUUUAUUUUUAUUUUUUUGAGACACAGUCGCGCUCUGUCGCCCAGGCUGGAGUGCAGUGGCGCGAUCUCGGGUCACUGCAAGUUGCGCCUCCUGGGUUCAUGCUAUUCUCCCGCCUCCACUCCAUUCUCCCGCCUUAGGCUCCCGAGUAGCUGUGACUACAGACGCCUGCCACCACGCCUGGCUAAAUUUUUUUGUUUUUUGUAUCUUGGGUAGAGACGGGGUUUCACCAUGUUAGCCAGGAUGGUCUCAAUCUCCUGACCUCGUGAUCGUCUCUGCCUCCCAAAGUGCUGGGAUUACAGGCGUGAGCCACUGCGCCCGGCCUCCCCCAAGCUCUUAAUGUUGCUUCCUGAGUUCUUGGUAACUGGGGAAAUCUCCAUUUUUUUUUUAUUUUUACUUUUUUUGAGACGCAGUCUUGCUCUGUUGCCCAGGCUGGAGUGCAGUGGCGCCACCUCGGCUCACUGCAAGCCCCACCUCCCGGGUUCAUGUCAUUCUCCUGCGACCCUCAGCCUCCCAAGUAGCUGGGACUGCAGGCGCCCACCACUACGCCCGGCUAAUUUUUUUAAUUUUUAGUUGAGACGGGGUUUCACUGUGUUAGCCAGGAUGGUCUUGAUCUUCUGACCUCGUGAUCCGCCUGCUUUGGCCUCCCAAAGUGCUGGGAUUACAGGCGUGAGCCACCGCACCUUUUUUUUUUUUUUGAUAAAAAGUCUCGCUGUGUCACCCAGGCUGGAGUGCAGUGGCACAAUUUUGGAUAACUGCAGCCCCUGCCUCCCGUGUUCAAGUGAUUCUCCUGCCUCAGCCUCUCGAGUAGCUGGGAUUAUAGGCGUGCACCACCACACCUGGCUAACUUUUGUAUUUUUAGUAGCGACAGGGUUUUGCCAUGUUGGCCAGGUGGGUCUUGAACUCCUGACCUAAAGUGAUCUGCCCACCAGCCUCCCCAAGUGCUGGAAUUACAGGCAUGAGCCACCGUGGCCAGCCAAAAAUCUCCAUUUUACCCUUCGUUUGUGAAAUCUGUGAGCACAAAUGCAGCCACUCACGUCAAACCCUAACAAAAUCGACCCCGGGGGCCACGAGGAGGGGGUGGCCUCGCACUUGUGCUUUUAAUGGGAGCUGCCACAAAGGCCUUUCCCAACCAGAACUUUGGGUUAAGCCACUUCUGUGAAGACCCUCUCUGCUAGCAACAGCCAGCCCCACCGGUGAACAAAGGCCACCACCGCAACAAGCUCCUGUAGCCACUGAUCUUUGUGUCAGAACAGCUUACAUGGACUUCCUUCUGCCUGCAGAAGCUUGCCCUUGCCCCAGCCCCUCAGAUGAGCCUGUGGACGGACCCUGGAUUGCAAUCCUUUGCUGUUUGCAAACAGCCUCUUGUUUUUGAGAAUUGGUUUCUCUUGCUCAUUUUAGGUUGCUAGAAACUGGCGUAGGCAGUAAGAUGCCAACCUUGAUCAUUUUAGUAGCAUGAACAGCAGAGUUACACAAGGAAGAAAACAAAGCAGUCCAUAUUUAACAUUUAUUUUACUUUGCUGAGCAAGAAUCAUAGACAGCUACAACCAUGGCUGCUUAGUUUAGACAAAAAUAACCAGGAGGCAUCCACAGGAUUAGUUACACAGUAUCAACUUAUCACCACAGCAGAAUUAACAGUGACUCACUAAUUAACAGAACCGUUUGCUAGAAAGCACUAAUUUAGUUAUAUAAAUACUGAAAUAGGUCACAUACAAAACACUAUAAACAUCUUGUAUGAUGUACUUUUAGUUCUCCAUAGUUUUGUUUGGUAUAAAGGAAAUAUAAUUUGGCUGUGACGUAGACUGUUGACGUAAUUUCCAAGUUUUCCCGUAUGGGGAAAGUUGCCCUGACUUUGGCCCUUUUCAAGGUGGAGCCUCCAACACCACAUUGGCAGGUUCAGACUCCGUGAACAGUCUAAAUGAGCAAGUCAGCUGAAAGCCACUUUCAGAUGACAGUGAAAUGAAAUGGAAAACAACAAACAAAAAAGGACUGCCAGUUGGAACAGUUUCCAACCGAGUUUUCGUUGAGUGAGGAUCCAGCAGCCAUCAAACUCAAACAUCAGGGGCCUGCAGGGAAACUGGAGGAAAUACUUAAGAGACAGCAAAACUGAAGGUUUCUGUGGUCUGAGGGAUCUGAGCGUGGACAUCCCACUCCUGUAUCCUCAGCCAGACAGAGAACUAGCCAGAUUCAUUAGGGGAACUCGGAUGCUCUCAUUCUAUAAAGUAGGGCCCCCAGCAGGGCACGUGCAUACAUUGGGAAAGAAUAAACCCCUCAGUACCAUGUUGGUCAAAGGCAAGAGAGAGAAUUCUAUUUCCAUUUGGAAUGUCAUUCUUGUUUACUUCUUCCAACAGUGAAAUACUUCCAGGCCUUCGAAAGGCCAUCCUUUGGACACAUGUAAAAAGCUGUCUUGUUCGCCUGUUAUUUCCACUGACCUGUCUGAGUGAUCACCUAGGAGCGUGGCAGCAGCAAGCAGAGCUCACCGGUUUUGGGACAAGGAUUUUAAAGGCAGCUACAAAGCGGAGUUCUAUUUGCUGAUGAUAGUCUCUGUUCAGCUCUUUAAAAUGACUGUCUGACUCACCAUGGUAAUUUUUCACAAAUUAAAGACACAUUUUGGGUUGUG